rnacentral:lncRNA from 1 species
CUUCCUAAUACCCCUUCCCUAGCCCUUUUUGGUGCAACAACGUACCCCACGGGGACGGUGAUCUUACUGCACUUGAGAGAAAGAGAGAGUCCUCAAAGAAACAGCAAAGGCCAGAGACAAGGCCUGGGCGUGGAUGGGGGAUGCAGACCCUCCCUGGUAACAAGAGAAGGGCAAACUCCAACCGCAGGGAGGUGAUGCCACUUGUGGGCUCUCAGAUUGGAGAGGAGCGAGCUGAGUGACGGGGCCUCGCGCGCUGCUGGGUGGCGGGGGAAAUCGUGCGUGCGGAGGUGGAGGGGAGGGUCCUGUUGAACUCCCCGCCAGCCCGGGGGCGGAGAGGGGGCUGUCGGAGGGCGAGCUCGGCGGUGACGCUGGGCGGUCACGUGACCGGGAGCUGCAGAGCGACGCAGCCUUCGGUGCAGUCGUCACUCCUGCCUGGAUACCAGCUCCCCGCUACCCUGCGCACGGCGGGCUGGCUUCGGGCCCGGGGAAGCGGAGCAGGUAAGGGCCUCGCGCGCGCCGCGGCCAGGGCGGCAGCAGACCGCCGACCCAGAGGGGCGGGUUCGGGGGUGGGGGACAAAGCGGGCUCAAGUUCCCGUACCCUGCGCUUGGAUUCUCCAGAGCCCUCCUCCUCCUGCCUACGUCUGUGCUGGGGAACCGUGGGCUUUGACAGGGCAGAUGGUGGGGGGAGUGUCUCAAGAGGGAAAUACAGAGAUUAAGAUGCUCCAUCCUUUCUGACUGUAAUCACCGACCACACACGUCCGCUCCGCUUCCUGCUGCUUUCAGUAGAAGGGACAGGCCACAGUGGCGUUUGCAGAGAAAAUGGUGGGCCUUGGCGACUGGACGGCGGGGUUGGUGCGGGUGGCGGUCUCACAAUAUGGGCAGGGACGUUUGAUAACCGGGUUCCUAAAUCCAGGAAAGCGAGUAUUGAGAUUUGUGUCCUGGCUGCUGAUUCAAGCACUCAGCGCCUUUACUCUCUCCUGUCUGACGACAGUCGUUCGGUGUGGCACUGUUGGUGGUGAGGCGAGGGAGGAAGUCGAGGAGAAAACUGCACAGGAUCAGCGGAGAUCUUCCCAUAGGCCCACAGUAGGGCUGUUUACCCCCUGAAAGCACGAGAAAGUGGGAGACGGGCCCGGAACCCUGGAGGUUGGUGCGAAGGUGGGCAGCGCCUGGGUAUAACAAGAGAGGGUCUGCCUGCAGGUCUGAAAGGUUUGAGAUCACUGGACACAAAGAAACAAGGAGGAAAUUAUUCCCAAAUGAUAUAGACUGGUUCACAGAUCUCAUGAGAGAAGGAAAGAGGAGGGAACUACCUUGACCAUUGCAGGUCCACCUCCAGUGGCAGCUGUAGUGGCCUCUGAGUGGCUGAAGACCAGCGCCCUCACAGGCCUACACCCAGACCUACUACUACCCUUUUUUCCCAGCCUGAUUGAGCCCCUCUAUACCUUGUUCGUGCCAUCAGCAGGGGUGAUUACAUGGGUCGUGUUCAGGAAGUGGGCUGGGUGACUGCAGGACUGAUGAUUUGGGCUGGUACCUGCUACUACAUUUACAGAUUAACCAAGGGAAGAGCCCAGGGUGUGAGGAGACUUGCCAGAAAUGGGCCCAGAGUCAAGAUGGAGAAUAUGGUUGGGAUACAGAACCAGACCAUGGCCAUGUGUGAAGCCGUGGCUGGGACAAAGAUUGAGACUAGACCCAAGCCCAAUACUGGAGCAGAAACUGGAGCUGGAGGUAGGGCUGGGGCUGAAGUCGAGACUAAGGCCACUGCUAAAGCCAGAACCCAAGCCAACUCUCAAGCCAAGGCAAUGGCUGAGGCAGAGACAGAGACCCAAUCUGAGGCCACAACAAUGGCUGAAACAGUGGUCAUGACAGAGGCAGUGACUCUGACUGAGGCUGAAGCCUAUGAUGUGGCUAUGAAAGAGGCAGUAACUCAAACUGACUCUGAGGCUGGGAGACUAGUCAAGAAAGAGGCAGUGACCCAGACAAAAGCUAAAGCUUGGGCACUUGUUGCUAGGGCAGAGACCAAGAAAGAAGCAAUGACCCAGACCAAAGCAGAAACUCGUAUAUUGGCUGAAAAAGAGAAAGAGGUGAACAGAGUAAUGGUGACACAGAAUGAGGCCUUGGCAGUAACCGGGGAAAUGGUCAUGAUGGGUGCCAUAAACAAGAUUGGAAUUGUGGCUGAGACCAAGGCAAGAGCCUGGGAAGAGACUGUGAGUGUGGCCAAGACUCAGUCUGAGGCCAGGUCUGGUACCACAGUUGAUGCUAAGGGAAAUCCUAAUACCAUGGCCAAAGCAGAAACUGGAACAGAUAUGAAGUCCUGUGCACUCUCUCAGGUUGUGGCUGAGAACCAGGUUGAUAAUGUGCUUGGUACUGGGGUUGAAGCCAAGGGGAAUUACAAUACCAUGCAUCAGGCAGGGUCUGCCACCGACGUGAGGGCUUCUGUUCAGCCUCAGAUUGUAACCAAGGCCCAGACUGAAGCCAUGCGUGGGGCAAUGGCUGAUGUUGGGAGUAAUGCCAAUGUCAUGUAUAAAGCAGGGGUGGGGGCAGAUAUGAAUAUUUCUAUACAAUCUCAGACUGUGAUCCAGAGACAGGCUGAGACAAUGUCUGGUGCUAGGGUUGAUGAUAGGGGAAAUAUCAAUGUCAUAUAUAGGGCAAUGACUGGAGCUGACAUGUGGGCUUCUGCUCAGCUUCAAGCUGUAGCCAGUGCUCAGGCUGAGGCUAUGCUUGAUGCCAGGGUUAUGGGUAGAGUAAAUCCCAAUUCCAUAUCUAAGGUGGGGUUUGGGAUAGACAUUGAGUCCUAUACACAGUAUCAGCCUACAGCCACGGUCCAGGCUGAUGCUUUGCUUGAUGACAAGAUUAAGGCUCAGGGCAAUGCCAACACCAAGUCUAAAGAAGAGGCUGGGACAGACACAAAGGCACAGUCUCAGACUUCUACCAAGAGCUACGCUGAGGCUCUACCUAGUACUAGAGGUAAAUCUAGGGGCAAAGCCAAAGGCAAGUGCAAAGCAGGGGUUGGGACAGAUGUGAAAACCUGUGUGCAGCCUCAAGGUGGGGCCAAGACCCAAGUUGAUGUUCUCCCUGAUUCCAGGGUUGAUGGCAGGGGUGAUCCUGAUGCCAUGUCUAUGGUAGAGGCCAAGGCAGAACCCAGGGCUGGUGGUCAGCCUCAGGAUAUGGCCGGUUCCCAGGGUGAAGCCAUGCCUGGUGCCAAGAAUAAGGUUCAGGACUACCUCAAUACUAUAUCUAAGUCAGGGGCUGGGCUACAUACAAAGAGCUCUGCCCAGCCUCAGGCUAUGACCAAUACCCAGGGUGAGGCCUUAGCUGGUGUCAAGAAUAAGGUUCGGGGCAAUCCCAAUGCUGUGUCUAAGGCAGGGACUGGGCCAGACACAAAAUUUGACUCUGCCCAGCUUCAAGCAGAUACAAUUGGCUCUCCUCAGCCCCAGGGUGUGGCCAGUUUCCAGGGUGAAGUUUCACCUGGAACCAAGAAUAAGGUCCGGGGCAAUCCCAAUGCUGUGUCUAAAGUAUGGACGGGGACAGAUACAAAGAGUUCUGCCCAGCCCCAGGCUACAGCCAAUUUCCAGGGGUGAGGCCUUGCCUAGUGUCAAGAAUAAAGUUCGGGGCAAUCCCAAUGCUGUGUCUAAGGCAGGGACUGGGCCAGACACAAAAUUUGACUCUGCCCAGCCUCAAGUGGAUACUAUAGGCUCUGCUCAGACCCAGGCUGUGGUCAAUUUCCAGGGUGAAGCCUCAUCUGGAACUAAGAAUAAGGUCAGGGGCAAUCUCAGUGCUGUGUCUAAAGUAUGGACUGGGUCAGAUACAAAGGGCUCUGCCCAGCCACGAACAGAUACAACAGGCUCUGCUCAGCCUCAGGCUGUGGCCUGUUCCUGGGGUGAAUCCUUGCCUGCUACGAAGAAUAAGGUCCGGGGCAAUCCCAGUGCUAUGUCUAAAGUAGGGUCUGGGCCAGAUACAACAUGUUCUGCCCAGCCUCAAACAGAUACAACAAACACUGCCCAGCCCCAAGCAGUGGCCAAUUCUCAGGGUGAGGUCUUGCUUGGUGCCAAGAGUAAGGUCAGGGGUAAUCCCAACGAUGUGUCCAAGGCAGAGUCUGGAACAGAUAUAAUGGGCUCUGCUCGGUCCCAAGCUGAAGCCUUAUCUGGUGCCAGAAAUAAGGUUCGGGGCAAUCUCAGUGCUGUGUCUAAGGUAGGGCCUGGGUCAGAUACAAAGAGCUCUUCCCAUCCCCAGUCUGCAGCCACUUCCCAGGGUGAGGCCUUGUGUGGUAUUAAGAACAAGGUCCGGGGAAAUCCCAGUGCUGUGUCUAAGGCAGGGUCUAGGCCUGAUACAAAGGGCUCUGCCCAUCCCCAAGCUGUAGCCAAUUCCCAAGGUGAGGCCUUGAGUGGUACUAAGAAUAAGGUCCGGGGCAAUUCCAAUGCUGUGUCUAAGGCAGGAACUGGGUCAGAUACAAUAGACCCUGCCCAGCCUCCAACAGAUAAAACAAGCUCUGCUCAGUCCCAGGCUGUGGCCUGUUCCCAGGGUGAGGUCUUGCUUGGUGCCAGGAGUAAGGUCAGGGGCAAUCCCAAUGCUGUGUCUAAGGCAGGGAUUGGAGCAGAUUCAAUAGGCUCUGCCCCAUCCCAAGCUGUGGCCAGUUCCCAUGGUGAGGCCUUGCUUGGUGCCAGGAGUAAGGUCAGGGGCAAUCGUGUGACUGAGUCUAAGGCAGAGGCUGGAGCAGCUCUGAUGGGCUCUGGCCAGCGUCAGUCUGUGACCCAUUCCCAAAGUAAGUCUGGCGCAAAGGACAAGACUAUACAUAAGUCUGAGGCAGAAGCCACAGGAGAUGUCUCUGUAAAGCCCAAGGCUAAGGCCACACCCACUUCUGAGAGUGAGGAUGGGGCAGACACUCAGGCCUGCAGGAAGUCUCAACCUAAGGUCCACGACUACUACUGGAGUGGUAUUGGUGUUGAGGACUGGAUUGCUUCUGAGCGAUGGAUCAAAUUUAGGUUUCAGGCUAGGGAUGGAUACUGGGAGAAUAGCAUGUCCUGGGCUGAUGAUGAGAAUGAAACCAGUGUUGAGUCCUGGAGUGGGGCUCGGAGUGAGAAUGAGGUUGGUAUUCAGUCUUGGGCUGGAGUUGGGGACCAGGCCAGUGGGGGCGUCUGGGCUGGGAGUCAUGCCAGUCAACAGUCCUGGGCUGGAGGCCAGGCCAGUGGAGGUUACUGGGUAGAGACUGGGGACAAGGCUGUUGGAGGGUCCUGGACUGUGGCUGAGAACCAGGCAAGUGGGGGUUCUUGGGCUGGCACUGGGAACCAGGCCGUUGGGGUUCCCUGGGCUGGAGCUCAGGCCAGUGAGAGUUCUUGGGCUGGGGGCCAGACCAGUGGGGUAUCCUGGGCUGGGGGAGAGGCCAUUGGAGUGUCCUGGACUGUGGUUGAGAACCAGGCCAAUGGAGUGUCCUGGGCUGGGGCUCAGGAACAGGCCAGUGGAAGGUCCCAGGAUGGGACUGGGAUUCAGGCUAAUGCAGGGCCCUGGGCUCAGGCUACAACUGGGAAUGUGGUUAAUAUUGGGUACUGGGCUGUGGCUGUGGACCAGGCUACUGGUGGGUCCUGGAUUCUGACUAGUGAUCUGUCUGGUGGUGCGUCCUGGGUUGGGACUAGUGAUCUGUCUGGUGCUAUAUCUAAGCCUAGACUUCAGGAUCAGGCCCAUGAAAGUGUGUCCUGGGCUGGGGCUGGGCUCGGUCCUGAAGGCCAGUCCAGUGGAAGGGUCUGGGCUGGCACCACAGACCAAGCCAGUGGAGGGUCCAGGCUGGGGCCUGUGGAUCAGUCCAGCAGUGGGUCCUGGGUUAUGGCUGGAGAACAGGCCAGUGAAGGGUCUAGGCCAGGGUUUGCAGACCAGUCCAGUGUUGGGUCCUGGGCUGGCACUGGGAACCAGGCCAGUGAAGGAUUCUUGGUUGGAGCUGUGGAUCAGGCCAGUGGAGGUUCAUGGACUGGGACUGUUGAUCAGUCUGGUGGUGGGGCUAAGCCUAGAUUUGAGGAUCAAGUCGGUGAAGAAGGAUCUUUGGCUAGUGCCGGUGGCCAGGCUGGUGGAGGGUCCAGGUCACGGCCAGAAGACCAGUCCAGUGGAGGGUCCUGGGCUGACUCUGUGGACCAAACCAGUAGAGGGUUCUUGGUUGGGGCUGUGGACCAGGCCAAUGAAGUGUCCUGGGCCGAACCUGGACAUCAGGCUGGUGGUGAGGCAAAGCUUAGAUCUGAGGAUCAGGCCAAAUCUGGAAAUGUGUCUUGGGCUGAUAGUGGAGGCCAGGUUAGUGGAGGUUCUACAUUGGUGCCCAGGGACCAGUCUGUUGGAGAUUCCUGGGCUGGCAUUGGGGACCAGGCCAGUGGAGGACCAAGGCCAGUGCCUGAGGCUCAGUCUACUGGAUGGUACUAUGCUUACAGUGGGAAUCAUGCUAGUGUAGGAGGGUCCUGGGCUGGGGCUGGUGGUCAGGUCAUUGGAGGACUUGGGCUAGGACUCAUGAACCCAUCCAGUGGUGGGUCCUGGGCUGUUACUGGGAAUCAGGUCAGUGGAGCAUCUUGGGCUGGGGCUGUGGGUCAGGCUGUUAGCUGUUCCAAACCUGGAUUUGAAGAUCAGGCCAGUGCAGGAGCAUUUUGGUCUGGCACAGAGGACCAGGCCACUGGAGGGUCUAGUCCAACGUCUGCAGGUCAGUCAGAUCAGUCCAGUGGCGGGUCUUGGGCUGGUGCUGGGAGUCAGACCAGUGGGAAGUCCUGGGUUGUGGCUGGUGAUCAAGCUAGUAGCUGUUCCAAACCUGGAUUUGAAGAUAAGGCCAGUGCAGGAGCAUUCUGGUCUGGCACAGAGGACCAGGCCACUGGAGGGUAUAGUCCAGCAUCUGCAGAUCAGUCAGAUCAGCCCAGUGGUGGGUCCUGGGCUGGUGGUGGGAGUCAGGCCAGUGGGCAGUCCUGGGUUGUGGCUGGUGAUCAGGCUGGUAGGUGUUCCAAACCCGGAUUUGAAGAUCAGGCCAGUGCAGGAGCAUUCUGGUCUGGCACAGAGGACCAGGCCACUGGAGGGUAUAGUCCAGCAUCUGCAGAUCAGUCAGAUCAGCCCAGUGGUGGGUCCUGGGCUGGUGGGGGGAGUCAGGCCAGGGGGCAGUCCUGGGUUGUGGCUGGUGAUCAGGCUGGGAGCUGUUCCAAACCCGGAUUUGAAGAUCAGGCCAGUGCAGGAGCAUUCUGGGCUGGUGUUGAGGACCAGGCCACUGGAGGGUCUAGUCCAGGGGCUGCAGAUCAGCCCAGUGGCGGGUCCUGGGCUGGUGGGGGGAGUCAGGCCAGUGGGCAGUCCUGGGUUGUGGCUGGUGAUCAGGCUGGUAGGUGUUCCAAACCCGGAUUUGAAGAUCAGGCCAGUGGAGGGGCGUUCUGGUCUGGUGUUGAGGACCAGGCCACUGGAGGGUCUAGUCCCGGGUCUGCAGAUCAGCCCAGUGGUGGGUCGUGGGCUGGUGGUGGGAGUCAGGCCAGGGGGCAGUCCUGGGUUGUGGCUGGUGAUCAUGCUGGGAGCUGUUCCCAACCUGGAUUUGAAGAUCAGGCCAGUGGAGGAGCAUUUUGGUCUGGUGCUGAGGAUCAGGCCCCUGGAGGGUCUAGUCCAGGGUCUGCAGAUCAGCCCAGUGGUGGGACCUGGGCUGGUGGUGGGAGUCAGGCCAGGGGGCAGUCCUGGGUUGUGGCUGGUGAUCAGGCUGGUAGCUGUUCCAAACCUGGAUUUGAAGAUCAGGCCAGUGGAGGAGGCUCCUGGGCUGGCAGUGGGGAUCAGGCUGGUAGAAAAUCAUGGGCUGGGUCUAGGCCUGGGAAGGAAGCCGGUAGAAGGUCUAGCUUGGGGCCUGACGAGCAAGCAAGUGGAGGGUCCUGGGCUAGGGCUAGAGACCAGACCAGUGGAAGGUCUCAGGUAAGUGCUAGGAUGGAGGCCAAUGAAGGAUCCUGGCUUGGGGCUGGGAGUGAGGCUAGUACAGGAUCCUGGUUCUGGAGAGGGGAAGAGUCUGGUAUUGUGUCUAGUCCUGGAGGUAAAAAUGAAGCCAGUAUUGAAUCCAGCUCAGGGGUUGGGGAAGAGGCUGUCAUUAGUUCCAGAUUCAGGGCUGAGAACAAGGCCAAUAUUGGGUGCUGGAUCAGAUCUAAUGAAGCCACCUGUAUGGAUUCCUGUUUGGGGGCUGAGUCUGGGACUGAGGUCAGGCAGGAGUCUUGGCUCUGGGAUGGAGAUGCAGCCACUACAGGGUCUAGGCUUGGGGCUGGGGAAGAGGCUGACAUGGGGUCCUGGACUUUGGCUGAGGAUGUAGAUGAGGAUGAGGUAAGUAGAGCAUCUAGCCCUGAUAUCGAGGAGAUCAGUUUAAGGUCAUUGUUUUGGGCUGAGAGUGAGAACAGUAAUGAAUUCAGAUCCAAUCGUGAGAAAAAUGUCAAUUUUCAGCAGGGGGCUGAAAAUAAGACCAGCACCAAGGAUAAGCUUGAGGCUGCUGGUGGAGUUGAUGUAAAGUCUUGUUUCUGGGAUAGUAAUGAAAACAAAAGUGAGGGAAAAUGUGUACCUAAGACUAAAGCCAAAAAGUCAGCAGAAUCAAGAGUCACAUAUCCAUCCAUGGUUCCUGGGGCAGGAAUGGGGUCAUGGGCAGGAGCAAUGAUCUGGACAGAAAUGAAAUUUCCAUACCAAAAUGAGUCUUGCUUCCCACCUGAAGAUGAGCUCAGAAAGCAGAUCAGAUCUGGGGAGAAAAUUCAGCCCUGGGCCUGCCGCUGUAAACGUGAAACUAACAUGGAUCCACAAGAGCUUGAAAAACUUAUUUGCAUGAUUGAGAUGACUGAAGAUCCUUCUAUUCAUGAAAUAGCCAAUAAUGCUCUAUAUAACAGUCCUGAUUACCCAUUUUCCCAUGAAGUCAUUCGUAAUGCAGGUAGAAUCUCAAUUAUUGAAGGCUUGCUCAAUAACCCCUACCCCAGUGUUAGGCAGAAGGCUUUAAAUGCACUGAAUAAUAUCUCGGUGGCUGCUGAAAAUCAUCGGAAGGUUAAAACAUACUUAAACCAAGUAUGUGAAGACACUAUCACCUAUCCCCUGAAUUCAAAUGUGCAGCUGGCUGGACUGAGAUUGAUAAAGCACCUGACUAUUAUUAGUGAAUAUCAGCAUAUGGUUACAAAUUACAUUUCAGAAUUUCUUCGUUUGUUAACCGUGGGAAGUGGAGAAACUAAAGACCAUAUUUUGGGAAUGCUUUUAAAUUUCUCUAAAAAUCCAUCUAUGACAAAAGACUUGCUCAUUGCCAAUGCACCAGCAUCACUGAUUAAUAUUUUUAGCAAGAAAGAGACAAAGGAGAAUAUUCUUAAUGCUCUUUCACUAUUUGAAAAUAUAAAUUACCAUUUUAAAAGAAGAGCAAAAGUAUUUACCCAGGACAAGUUCAGUAAAAAUUCCCUUUAUUUCGUAUUCCAGCGGCCUAAAGCAUGUGCCAAGAAACUUCGAGUCUUAGCAGCAGAAUACAAUGACCCUGAGGUGAAAGAAAGAGUUGAGCUAUUAUUAAGUAAACUCUAAUUAGUUGUAGUUUUCCAAACAAAUUUGAGUAAUAUUGUGGUUUUGCAGCCUGGAGGUAAUGCACAUUGUAAAUUGCAUUAUAACUUCUAAACUGAUGUUGCUUCUGAUGGUCUAUAGCUGGACCAUUUUAUGAACACCAAAUGAAUUCAAACUUGUACUGAAAAUACGUGUUGAUUUUUUACCUUGUCUGGAUUGAGAUAUUUUUGGUAUGCUUCAUGAGCAGAAACUGAACUGAUUUUUCAUAAGUAAGGUUAUCUUUGGUCCUUUGUGUGGACUUAUGUUUAUACAUUUGAGACUUUAUUUUUAUGUCAUCAAUAAAGUUGUGUGUUUU